GCCCUUCUCUCGCGAGAGCUGAGAGGCGGAAAAUGGCGCCGACAUGAAUGCGAACCCGCAUUGCCGAGAAAGUAGCCGCCUCCUGAGUUGGAGCCGCCGGAGCCGCAUGAACCAGAGAUCGAGCAGUCGAGGAUGGAGGAGGAACCGUCCGUGCCCAGCCCAGACUUGUUAGCCACUGCAGAGCCCAACUCCAGUGUGACCGACCAGGAGGUGGUGUCCCCAGUUGUGGCUGAGGCAACCACUUCUUCCUCCAUGGAGGAGGAGCCAGACCCUAAUGGGACAGCCACACCCCCAGUUUGGGAACGUGGAGGGUUUGGAGGUACACAGCAGGGUGCCUCCCCAGCCCCAGACAGCUGCCAGACAGGCCCUGGACCCAGCCCUGUUUCGGGGACCAAUGAGGACCUGCGGCCUCCCAGGCGACGCCCACCACCAGGGAAACAAAUACCCUGCUCUAGCCCUGGCUGCUGCCUCAGUUUCCCCAGUGUUCGUGACCUGGCACAGCAUCUUCGUACCCACUGCCCGCCCACACAGUCCCUAGAAGGCAAGCUCUUCCUCUGCUCAGCCCUCAGCUGCACCGAGAGCUUCCCCAGCAUGCAGGAGCUGGUGGCGCACGGCAAGCUGCAUUACAAGCCUAAUCGCUACUUCAAGUGUGAGAACUGCCUCCUUCGCUUCCGCACCCACCGCUCACUCUUCAAGCAUCUGCAUGUUUGUGCAGAGCAUGCUCAGAGCCCAGCCCCACCACCACCCCCUGCCCUGGACAAAGAGCCACCUGCGCCCGAGCGUCCCCUGGAGUCCGACCCUUCUUCUGCGCCGGGCUUGCAAUUUCCGCUGCUCGAGCCCUUCACAACCCCACCCUCUGCCUCCACUGGGCCCUUUCUACCGUACUUGAACCCCGCGCCUUUUGGCCUAAGUCCUCCACGCCUGCGCCCCUUCCUGGCUGCUGCUCCAGGGCCACCAACUUCCAGCACAGCUGUCUGGAAAAAGAGCCAAGGUGCGGGCGGCAGCCCCCGAAGACCUCAGGGUGGCUCCGAUGCGCCCUCAGGGCAUGCGGCCCCGAGCCGCAUCGUGUGGGAGCACACGCGCGGCCGCUACUCGUGCAUGCAGUGCGCCUUCUCCACGGCCUCGCGGCCCGCCAUGACACUGCAUCUGCAGGAUCACCGCACCAGCGGCCCCGCAGCCCCUGCGCCUGGGCCGCCACGCCCCGACGCCCCGGCGGGCACCUGGCUGCACAGCUGCAUAGCAGUGCCAGCUUGGCCAGAGACGACAGGCUCACCCUGAACAGGCUGAGCCGCUCCAGGAAGCUUAACUGCACUGAGAUCAGCCAGAUGCCAGUCCACUGCCAGGCAGCUGUCUGACAACAGCUCUGCCACCUGCAGAUGCUGACCUGGUUAUCCUCAGCUGAGGCUGAGAGAAAAGUCUUCCCCCACACUCACCUGUCCUGGAGACCCAGAAAGGAACCACAUCUGGUCAUCCUUGCCCCCUAAGAGGAGUCCUACUUUAAAUGAGGGCCCAUGUCUGGAAACCGUAACCCAGGAUGAGGAUGCACUGGCACAGAGGCCUUCGA